GGUUUGAUUAUGGCUCAUAUUGAACGCUGGCGGGAUGCUUUACACAUGCAAGUCGAACGGCAGCACGGACUUCGGUCUGGUGGCGAGUGGCGAACGGGUGAGGUAAUGUAUCGGAACGUGUGCCUAGUAGCGGGGGAUAACUACGCCGAAAAGCGUAGCUAAUACCGCAUACGCCCUUCGGGGGAAAGCGGGGACCUUCGGGCCCCGCACUAUUAGAGCGGCCGAUAUCGGAUUAGCUAGUUGGUGGGGUAACGCCCACCAAGGCGACGAUCCGUAGCUGGUUUGAGAGGACGACCAGCCACACUGGGACUGGAGAUGACGGCCCAGACUCCUACGGAGGCAGCAGUGGGGAAUUUUGGACAAAUGGGGAAACCUCGAUCCAGCCAUCCCGCGUGUGCGAUGAAGGCCUUCGGGUUGUAAAGCACUUUUGGCAGGAAAGAAACGGCACGGGAUAAUACCCCGUGCAACUGACGGUACCUGGUAACAAGCACUGGCUAACUACGUGCCAGCAGCCGCGGUAAUACGUAGGGUGCAAGCGUUAAUCGGAAUUACUGGGCGCAAAGCGUGCGCAGGCGGUUCGGAAAAGAAAGAUGUGAAAUCCCGUAUUUAACUUUGAACUGCAUUUUUAACUACCGAGCUAGAGUGUGUCAGAGGGAGGUGGAAUUCCGCGUGUAGCAGUGAAAUGCGUAGAUAUGCGGAGGAACACCGAUGGCGAAGGCAGCCUCCUGGGAUAACACUGACGCUCAUGCACGAAAGCGUGGGGAGCAAACAGGAUUAGAUACCCUGGUAGUCCACGCCCUAAACGAUGUCAACUAGCUGUUGGGGCCUUUCGGGCCUUGGUAGCGCAGCUAACGCGUGAAGUUGACCGCCUGUAAGUACGGUCGCAAGAUUAAAACUCAAAGGAAUUGACGGGGACCCGCACAAGCGGUGGAUGAUGUGGAUUAAUUCGAUGCAACGCGAAAAACCUUACCUACCCUUGACAUGUCUGGAAUCCCGAAGACAUUUUGGGAGUGCUCGCAAGAGAACCGGAACACAGGUGCUGCAUGGCUGUCGUCAGCUCGUGUCGUGAGAUGUUGGGUUAAGUCCCGCAACGAGCGCAACCCUUGUCAUUAGUUGCCACGAAAAAGGGCACUCUAAUGAGACUGCCGGUGACAAACCGGAGGAAGGCGGGGAUGACGUCAAGUCCUCAUGGCCCUGGCGGUAGGGCUUCACACGUCAUACAAUGGUCGGGACAGAGGGUCGCCAACCCGCGAGGGGAGCCAAUCCCAGAAACCCGAUCGUAGUCCGGAUCGCAGUCUGCAACUCGACUGCGUGAAGUCGGAAUCGCUAGUAAUCGCGGAUCAGCAUGUCGCGGUGAAUACGUUCCCGGGUCUUGUACACACCGCCUGUCACACCAUGGGAGUGGGUUUUACCAGAAGUAGUUAGCCUAACCGUAAGGAGGGCGAUUACCACGGUAGGAUUCAUGACUGGGGUGAAGUCGUAACAAGGUAA
rnacentral:rRNA from 1 species